rnacentral:lncRNA from 1 species
CCGGGACCUGCGGCGUCGCCGGCGGGUUGCCUCCGCCCUCGGACCAGCCCCGCGCGAGCCGGGCUCCCCCGGCGCCCUCCCGCAUCCGCCGCUCCCGGCCCCGCCUGGCCGCAGGGCCCGGGUAGGAAGGACGGGACCGGCCCGGUGGAGACCUGGCCCCACUGCACGAGGGUCCCUGGAGAUGCCAUUCUGAGCCGAGAAGCGGCUGCUCUGGCCGAGGCCGUUUGCGUGGCAGCGCUUGCAGGUCUGCGGCAGACCACCCACCGCGAUCAUCUGGCUUUGUUCUUACAGAAGCCAGGUUGAAGCUACCCCAUACCCAAGUAGCCCCAUCCAAUGGGAAAUUCCAAAUCAAGGCCUCCAAAGAGCUCGGUUCCCAAAAGCCAGUCAAACCACAGUGGAAGCCUCCCCCGUGUUCUACAUCCUGUGCCCU